UACGGGGGGGGCAAGCGUUGUUCGGAAUUACUGGGCGUAAAGGGCGCGUAGGCGGCCUGCUAAGUCGGACGUGAAAUCCCCGGGCUCAACCCGGGAACUGCGUCCGAUACUGGAAGGCUUGAAUCCGGGAGAGGGAUGCGGAAUUCCAGGUGUAGCGGUGAAAUGCGUAGAUAUCUGGAGGAACACCGGUGGCGAAGGCGGCAUCCUGGACCGGCAUUGACGCUGAGGCGCGAAAGCCAGGGGAGCAAACGGG
rnacentral:rRNA from 1 species